rnacentral:rRNA from 1 species
AUGGCAAGCAGACAGCCACAUAUCUCGUAUCUCCUGCUCUCUCUGCAUGCAUCAGAACCACACACGUCUCUAUCACAACAAACACAAACACACAUGCAUGCCACGCACAGCCACACACACACACACACCUUAUCUUCUGUCCCUCUCAUCUUUCUCACCGUCUCACACAUCCACACUCCCGUACACAGGCACACAGCCAUGGAGAACUCGAAGCACGCCGGCGGAGGACUCGAGCAGCUGCAGCAGCCUGCCGGCGUAGUGCUUGAGCACCUCCAGCUUCAGGUGCGCACCGUUCGUUCUCCGGCUCGCACGCAUGCCAUCUCUCAAGCAGCAGCUAGCAGCACAUUUGCCGGCGGCCGGCCACCAAGCUCCCUCAUGCACGUAGCAGCGAAGCAGCUGAUGCGAGGCGGCUGCAAGCGGCAGCACAUGCACACGGCGGGAAGGCAGCAGCUCACCAACCACACGCCGGCGAGUGGUGGCGCCAACAACCACCGACGCCACGAGCCACAUGCGUCGUCGACGGCGCCACCAAGAGCGACGGCGAGGCUCAUGUCACAUAGACGCGUCUUCUUGCUGAGCAGCAGCACCCGCACGCUCCGGCAAGCCAACAACGGACCGGCCAAGCUAGCACACAAGCAGCGGACCGGCUAG